rnacentral:misc_RNA from 1 species
CAAACCUCAAGCCUUGCUUGGUGAUGGGCCCCGCCCGCGCGGCGGGCCCGAAACUCGUGGGCGCCCCAGGCCGGACUCCAAGCGUAGCAAAACCCUCGCUUGCGGACGACCGGUCGGAGGCCGCCCCGGACCCCAAUUUUUAUCAAUGG